rnacentral:rRNA from 1 species
GAUGAACGCUGGCGGCGUGCCUAAUACAUGCAAGUCGAGCGAACGGACGAGAAGCUUGCUUCUCUGAUGUUAGCGGCGGACGGGUGAGUAACACGUGGAUAACCUACCUAUAAGACUGGGAUAACUUCGGGAAACCGGAGCUAAUACCGGAUAAUAUUUUGAACCGCAUGGUUCAAAAGUGAAAGACGGUCUUGCUGUCACUUAUAGAUGGAUCCGCGCUGCAUUAGCUAGUUGGUAAGGUAACGGCUUACCAAGGCAACGAUGCAUAGCCGACCUGAGAGGGUGAUCGGCCACACUGGAACUGAGACACGGUCCAGACUCCUACGGGAGGCAGCAGUAGGGAAUCUUCCGCAAUGGGCGAAAGCCUGACGGAGCAACGCCGCGUGAGUGAUGAAGGUCUUCGGAUCGUAAAACUCUGUUAUUAGGGAAGAACAUAUGUGUAAGUAACUGUGCACAUCUUGACGGUACCUAAUCAGAAAGCCACGGCUAACUACGUGCCAGCAGCCGCGGUAAUACGUAGGUGGCAAGCGUUAUCCGGAAUUAUUGGGCGUAAAGCGCGCGUAGGCGGUUUUUUAAGUCUGAUGUGAAAGCCCACGGCUCAACCGUGGAGGGUCAUUGGAAACUGGAAAACUUGAGUGCAGAAGAGGAAAGUGGAAUUCCAUGUGUAGCGGUGAAAUGCGCAGAGAUAUGGAGGAACACCAGUGGCGAAGGCGACUUUCUGGUCUGUAACUGACGCUGAUGUGCGAAAGCGUGGGGAUCAAACAGGAUUAGAUACCCUGGUAGUCCACGCCGUAAACGAUGAGUGCUAAGUGUUAGGGGGUUUCCGCCCCUUAGUGCUGCAGCUAACGCAUUAAGCACUCCGCCUGGGGAGUACGACCGCAAGGUUGAAACUCAAAGGAAUUGGCGGGGACCCGCACAAGCGGUGGAGCAUGUGGUUUAAUUCGAAGCAACGCGAAGAACCUUACCAAAUCUUGACAUCCUUUGACAACUCUAGAGAUAGAGCCUUCCCCUUCGGGGGACAAAGUGACAGGUGGUGCAUGGUUGUCGUCAGCUCGUGUCGUGAGAUGUUGGGUUAAGUCCCGCAACGAGCGCAACCCUUAAACUUAGUUGCCAUCAUUAAGUUGGGCACUCUAAGUUGACUGCCGGUGACAAACCGGAGGAAGGUGGGGAUGACGUCAAAUCAUCAUGCCCCUUAUGAUUUGGGCUACACACGUGCUACAAUGGACAAUACAAAGGGCAGCGAAACCGUGAGGUCAAGCAAAUCCCAUAAAGUUGUUCUCAGUUCGGAUUGUAGUCUGCAACUCGAGUACAUGAAGCUGGAAUCGGUAGUAAUCGUAGAUCAGCAUGGUACGGUGAAUACGUUCCCGGCUCU